AAGUCGAGCGGAGAGGCCCUUCGGGGUACUCGAGCGGCGAACGGGUGAGUAACACGUGAGUAACCUGCCCCAGACUUUGGGAUAACCCUCGGAAACGGGGGCUAAUACCGAAUAUUACUUCCGAUCGCAUGGUUGGUUGUGGAAAGUUUUUCGGUUUGGGAUGGACUCGCGGCCUAUCAGCUUGUUGGUGGGGUAAUGGCCUACCAAGGCGAGGACGGGUAGCCGGCCUGAGAGGGCGACCGGCCACACUGGGACUGAGACACGGCCCAGACUCCUACGGGAGGCAGCAGUGGGGAAUAUUGCACAAUGGGCGGAAGCCUGAUGCAGCGACGCCGCGUGAGGGAUGACGGCCUUCGGGUUGUAAACCUCUUUCAGCAGGGACGAAGCGCAAGUGACGGUACCUGCAGAAGAAGCGCCGGCCAACUGCGUGCCAGCAGCCGCGGUAAGACGUAGGGCGCGAGCGUUGUCCGGAUUUAUUAGGCGUAAAGAGCUCGUAGGCGGCUUGUCGCGUCGAAUGUGAAAUCUCAGGGCUCAACUCUGACAUUGCAUUCGAUACGGGCAGGCUAGAGUUCGGUAGGGGAGACUGGAAUUCCUGGUGUAGCGGUGAAAUGCGCAGAUAUCAGGAGGAACACCGGUGGCGAAGGCGGGUCUCUGGGCCGAUACUGACGCUGAGGAGCGAAAGCGUGGGGAGCGAACAGGAUUAGAUACCUUGGUAGUCCACGCUGUAAACGUUGGGCGCUAGGUGU
rnacentral:rRNA from 1 species